rnacentral:rRNA from 1 species
GACAGAGGGGGCAAGCGUUGCUCGGAAUCACUGGGCGUAAAGGGCGCGUAGGCGGCCUUUCAAGUGACGGGUGAAAUCCCUCGGCUUAACCGAGGAACUGCCUGUCAGACUGGAAGGCUUGAGACCGGGAGAGGUGAGUGGAAUUCCCAGUGUAGCGGUGAAAUGCGUAGAUAUUGGGAGGAACACCAGUGGCGAAGGCGGCUCACUGGACCGGUACUGACGCUGAGGCGCGAAAGCGUGGGGAGCAAACAGG